CAGAUCCAGGUCCUGCUGGGCCAGGUGCGCGCGCAGCUGCCGGAUCUCAAACUGCAAGGGGCAGAAAGAAGGGUUGAGGGUGGGUGCGCUGUUGGGGUGGGGAAAGGAUGGGGGUGGGGACAGGAGGUCGCAACCUCACUCCGGAGCUUUGCACCUGGACGGCAUACUAGGAUGUAGGGAUAAAAGGGCUGAGCUUCCGAAGGCAGGAGGCUGCAUUCCUCACUGUGAUCUCACCAACACUAAACACAUCGGAACCUUUAACGAGCAGAAGACCACGCUGGACCGCUGGACCGCUGGACCGGCGGUGAGGAAAUCGAAUCUGAACACGCCUUUAGCUACCUGUGCGCCUCCAAGGAUUAUUAACAGGAAAGCCCUCUUCAGGCGGCUCCGGCUCCGACAGGUCUACUGCUGCCCACUGACUGACAGCUGCAUAUUCACACAUGGGCUCUGGCAAACCUAAAUCGGAUCACGACACCCGGUAAACCAUGAGCACAGGUGAAAUCAUUGACUGCCACCAGAAUGGCCUAGCAGUGACCCGGCGUGGGACAGCUCCCAGGGCACCUGCCCAAUCCAAAGCCUCUGUGCUGAGCCUCUGGUUUAAUUUCUCCAGAGAGCAAACCCAUGAUGGCCUCUUUGAAGGUGGAGUCUGUCCUCCUGAUCACACAAGCCUUGGAGUAUUUUAAAUUUCCGAAUAGACUUUUACCCAAUUCCAUUGCCCUGAUGUUCAUUUCACACAAUGCCCUCUUCCUCCCAGAAUCUCUACGAUUCUGAGGGCAGAACUGGCCCCAUUUUCCUCCUCUGUGGCCAUGUCAGACACUGUUUUCUCCACUUUGCCUAAAGUCCGUAUCCUCUCUGACCCAACCCACAAGACUGUUUCCUAGGCUCUACGCACUUGGUUGCUCCCUUCAACCCUCAUCUUGUGGCAUCUGAGA